rnacentral:rRNA from 1 species
AACGCUAGCUACAGGCUUAACACAUGCAAGUCGAACGGAUUCUGGAUUCGUCUGGAAUUAGUGGCAAACGGGUGAGUAACACGUAUCCAACCACCCUGCGACUCGGGGACAGCCUCUUGAAAGGGAGAUUAAUAUCCGAUGUACUGUUUUUGGUGCAUGCCAUUUUCAGUAAAGUUUUUUACGGUCGCUGACGGGGAUGCGUUCCAUUAGAUCGUCGGUGUGGUAACGGCUCACCGAGUCUAUGAUGGAUAGGGGUUCUGAGAGGAAGGUCCCCCACAUUGGAACUGCGACACGGUCCAAACUCCUACGGGAGGCAGCAGUGAGGAAUCUUGGUCAAUGGGCGCAAGGCCUGAACCAGCCACGUAGCGUGAAGGAAGACUGCCCUUAGGGUUGUAAACUUCUUUUAUAAGGGAAUAACGUCAGUAACGAGUUACUGAUUGCAUGUACCUUAUGAAUAAGGAUCGGCUAACUCCGUGCCAGCAGCCGCGGUAAUACGGAGGAUCCGAGCGUUAUCCGGAUUUAUUGGGUUUAAAGGGUGCGUAGGCGGGAGCGGAAGUCAGCUGUGAAAUUUUAUGGCUCAACCAUAAACUUGCAGUUGAAACUCCGUUUCUUGAGUACACAUGAGGUGGGCGGAAUUUGUGGUGUAGCGGUGAAAUGCUUAGAUAUCACGAAGAACUCCGAUUG